rnacentral:lncRNA from 1 species
CCCUUUCUUCUUCAAAAUUCAAAUUCAUUGUUUCCCAAGCCAGAUCUACAAAAAUCCAUGAGCCCUCACCUUUAUCUUCAUCCAACGUGUCAACCCAGGGAUGCAUAUAUCCUAAACAAGAAGGUCAAAGCUAAGCAGCAUUCUUCCCAGCUUGAUUGAAUCUAUAUGAAGUAAAAUUAGCGGGUCAUUUGGCUUCAAAAAGAUUCAAAUUUUGAAUCCCAUCAAUUUCUUCAAACAAGCAAACGGAAGGUCGUCGCCGAUGAAUUUUCCACCCACUGGAUCAAAUUUACACCUGUGUUCAGGUAUGCUUUUUCUUGGUUUUCUUUGAAUUCCUAUAAUUAAAAACCAACGCAAAGAACGAUGACUAAUCUAUAAAAUGCGUAGUAUUUUAGUUGAAAAUGUUUGUGUAAACCUGGUGUGCAUCUUCCUAAUGCAUGGAUAGGCCUUCAAACAUGAGGCUUUACACAAAAGGCCAAACUAUGUGAAUUCCUUUGUUUCUUCCAAAACUAUCUUUGGUGCUACAAGCUCAUAUUAUGAUGUUUUGCACCUGACCUGGACUACAAAGAAGCGCCAACUACAAAUUGAAAUGAUCGAUCAACUUUGUAACAAGUGGCACUGUGGAUCCAAUUGGUUGCACAGAGAGCAAUGCCCGUUGACUGGUGAUUGAAGUAUUUGGAUUUGGAUGGCCGGAAGAGUUUAACGUAGCCAUGAUGGCUAAAUGGUGGUGGCGGUUUCGGGACUGCCCCACCCACCCACCUUUGGUUAGAUGUCAUCUUAGCUAUACAUGGGCCGGAUAACGAAGAUAAAAUCAUCCCGGUUAAGCGUGCUAUUGCUGGAUGGUGGAAAGAUGAAAAAGUUUGGUAUCAAGAUUAAA